GCCAUGUCAUAUUAAAUCACAGGUUCUCGUUCGAUCGCCGAAGUUAAGCAUCGUCGAGAUUUGUCAGUACCUAGAUGGGUGACUGCUUGGGAUGACCAGGUGCUGUAAG